rnacentral:rRNA from 1 species
GUGCCAGCCGCCGCGGUAAUACGAAGGGUGCAAACGUUGCUCGGAAUCAUUGGGCGUAAAGCGCACGUAGGCGGCCCUGUAAGUCGGAUGUGAAAUCCCUCGGCUCAACCGAGGACGUGCAUCCGAAACUGCAGAGCUCGAGUAUGGAAGAGGGUCGCGGAAUUCCCGGUGUAGAGGUGAAAUUCGUAGAUAUCGGGAGGAACACCAGUGGCGAAGGCGGCGACCUGGGCCAAUACUGACGCUGAGGUGCGAAAGCGUGGGGAGCAAACAGGAUUAGAAACCCCAGUAGUCC